rnacentral:misc_RNA from 1 species
UAUAUAGAUGCGUUACAUCGCAAUACACAUUCUAAUACUUUAUAGAGUUUGUGAUAAACGCAGGCAACAAGUGCGCUCCACAAGCCCGAAUGAACGGGCCUGUUUCGCGACUCGUAAACCCACAGUAAGUGCACAGGUGUAGGAGCGGAUGAGCAGGGCGUGCACAUGCCUCGUAAGGCCAGCUACAACCCAGUCAAAACUCGAUAAUGAUCCUUCCGCAGGUUCACCUACGGAAA